rnacentral:rRNA from 1 species
GACGAACGCUGGCGGCGUGCUUAACACAUGCAAGUCGAACGGAAAGGCCCUGCUUUUGUGGGGUGCUCGAGUGGCGAACGGGUGAGUAACACGUGAGUAACCUGCCCUUGACUUUGGGAUAACUUCAGGAAACUGGGGCUAAUACCGGAUAGGAGCUCCUGCUGCAUGGUGGGGGUUGGAAAGUGUCGGCGGUUGGGGAUGUACUCGCGGCUUAUCAGCUUGUUGGUGGGGUAGUGGCGUACCAAGGCUUUGACGGGUAGCCGGCCUGAGAGGGUGACCGGCCACAUUGGGACUGAGGUACGGCCCAGACUCCUACGGGAGGCAGCGGUGGGGAACAUUGCACAAUGGGCGGAAGCCUGAAGCAGCAACGCCGCGUGCGGGAUCACGGCCUUCAGGUUGUAAACCGCGUUCGCCUGUGACGAAGCGCAAGUGACGGUAAUGGGUAAAGAAGCACCGGCUAACUACGUG